rnacentral:rRNA from 1 species
UACAGAGGGGGCAAGCGUUGUUCGGAUUCAUUGGGCGUAAAGGGUGCGUAGGCGGCGCGGUAAGUCGGGUGUGAAAUCUCGGAGCUUAACUCCGAAACUGCAUUCGAUACUGCCGUGCUUGAGGACUGGAGAGGAGACUGGAAUUUACGGUGUAGCGGUGAAAUGCGUAGAUAUCGUAAGGAAGACCAGUGGCGAAGGCGGGUCUCUGGACAGUUCCUGACGCUGAGGCACGAAGGCCAGGGGAGCAAACGGG